UCUUUAAGAAAAUACUUUAAAGUAAAACCUGCUCAAUGUUAAUAAAUAGCCGCAAUUUUCUGUGCUAAGGUAGCAUAAUCACUAGCUUUUUUAUUAAAAGAUAGAAUGAAAGGUUAAAUGAAAUAUAAUUAGUUUUUAAAUUAAAUAACUAAAUUAAAUGAAAAGUAAAAAUUCUUUUCUUUCUAAGAAAGACGAUAAGACCCUGAUAAACUUAAAGUAUUUCACUGGGGCAGUAAAUUAAAAAAACCUUAAAUUCAAAUUAUUAUAUUAUAACAAAUAGUAAAUUAGUUACUACAGGGAUAACAGCGCUAUUUUUUUUUAAAGCUCUAAUUUUUAAAAAAAGUUACGACCUCGAUGUUGAAUUAAUAUUCUUUACUAUGGAGCAACCACUAUACAUAGAUAGUCUGUUCGACUAUUAAAAAAUU
rnacentral:rRNA from 1 species